rnacentral:rRNA from 1 species
CACCUCUAGCAUAAUAAGUAUUAGAGGCAUUGCCUGCCCAGUGACUAAAGUUAAACGGCCGCGGUAUCCUGACCGUGCAAAGGUAGCAUAAUCACUUGUUCCUUAAUUAGGGACUUGUAUGAACGGCUAGACGAGGGUUCAACUGUCUCUUAUUUUUAAUCAGUGAAAUUGACCUUCCAGUGAAGAGGCUGGAAUUCUAAAAUAAGACGAGAAGACCCUAUGGAGCUUAAAUUAACAAGCUUAAUUAUUAGUAUAAUAACCAAAUGGUACAAAACAAAAAUAUAAGCUUAAAAUUUUGGUUGGGGUGACCUCGGAGAAUAAAAAAUCCUCCGAACGAUGAUAACAAAGACCAACAAGUCAAAGUGACCUAUCUAUCCAAUUGACCCAAAACAAUUUGAUCAACGGACCAAGUUACCCUAGGGAUAACAGCGCAAUCCUAUUUAAGAGUUCAUAUCGACAAUAGGGUUUACGACCUCGAUGUUGGAUCAGGACAUCCCAAUGGUGCAGAAGCUAUUAAUGGUUCGUUUGUUCAACGAUUAAAGUC